CGGCCGCGGCUGGGCGGGCGCCGCGCGGGGGCAGGGCGGGCGUAUUCAAUGGAAGUAUGUUACCAGCUGCCGGUGCUGCCCCUGGACAGGCCGGUCCCCCAGCACGUCCUCAGCCGCCGAGGAGCCAUCAGCUUCAGCUCCAGCUCCGCGCUCUUCGGCUGCCCCAAUCCCCGUCAACUCUCACAGAGGCGUGGAGCGAUUUCCUAUGACAGUUCUGAUCAGACUGCAUUGUACAUUCGUAUGCUAGGAGAUGUACGUGUAAGGAGUCGAGCAGGAUUUGAAUCAGAAAGAAGAGGUUCUCAUCCAUAUAUUGAUUUUCGUAUUUUUCAUGCUCAAUCUGAAAUUGAAGUUUCUGUGUCUGCAAGAAAUAUCAGGAGGUUACUAAGUUUCCAGCGGUAUCUUAGAUCUUCUCGCUUUUUUCGCGGUACUACUGUUUCAAAUUCUCUAAACAUUUUAGAUGAUGAUUAUAAUGGACAAGCCAAGUGUAUGCUGGAAAAAGUUGGAAAUUGGAAUUUUGAUAUCUUUCUAUUUGAUAGACUAACAAAUGGAAAUAGUCUAGUAAGUUUAACCUUUCAUUUAUUUAGUCUUCAUGGAUUAAUUGAGUACUUCCAUUUAGAUAUGAUGAAACUUCGUAGAUUUUUAGUUAUGAUUCAAGAAGAUUACCACAGUCAGAACCCUUACCACAAUGCGGUCCAUGCUGCAGAUGUUACUCAGGCCAUGCACUGUUACUUAAAAGAACCUAAGCUUGCCAGUUCUGUAACCCCUUGGGAUGUCUUGCUGAGCUUAAUUGCAGCUGCCACUCACGAUCUGGAUCAUCCAGGUGUUAAUCAACCUUUCCUUAUUAAAACUAACCAUUACUUGGCAACUUUAUACAAGAAUACCUCAGUACUGGAAAAUCACCACUGGAGAUCUGCAGUGGGAUUAUUGAGAGAAUCUGGCUUAUUCUCACAUAUGCCAUCAGAAAGCAGGCAACAAAUGGAGACUCAGAUAGGUGCUUUGAUACUAGCCACAGACAUCAGUCGCCAAAAUGAGUAUCUGUCAUUGUUCCGGUCCCAUUUGGACAGAGGUGAUUUACGCCUUGAAGAUGCCAGGCAUAGGCAUUUGGUUUUACAGAUGGCUUUGAAAUGUGCUGAUAUUUGUAACCCAUGUCGGACCUGGGAAUUAAGCAAGCAGUGGAGUGAAAAAGUAACAGAGGAAUUCUUCCAUCAAGGAGAUAUAGAAAAGAAGUAUCAUUUGGGUGUGAGUCCACUUUGUGAUCGUCAGACUGAAUCUAUUGCCAACAUCCAGAUUGGUUUCAUGACUUAUCUCGUGGAGCCUUUAUUCACAGAAUGGGCGAGGUUUUCCAAUACCAGGCUAUCCCAGACAAUGCUCGGACAUAUGGGGCUGAAUAAAGCCAGUUGGAAGGGGUUGCAGAGAGAACAGUCCACCAGUGAGGACACUGAUGCUGCGUUCGAGGAGUUGAACUCACAGCUAUUACCUCAGGAAAAUCGGUUAUCAUAGCCCCCAGAAUCGUCGGAACAGACUGCCUCCUGCAGGUUUUUAGAAAUGUGAAAUGGGGUCUUGAGGUGAGAGGACUUUCUUGACUGCCAAGGUUUCCGAGGGAAUGAGGCCAGCGUUAUUUAUUCCCAAGGUGUCCUCUACUGGAUCGUGCGACCCCACUUUUUAAUUAUAAGACCUGAACAUACAGCAAUAUGCACUUGGCUUUCGUGUGAAACCUUGAAUAUGCAAAGCCCAGCAGGAGCGGAUCCGAAAGGAGUAACGAAGGAAGUUUUGCAACGUGCCACCAGUUUUUCAAAGCAUUUACUCCUCGAACCGUGAAACUUGAACUGUAUCUUUCGGCAGAAAUCUCUUGGAAUUUAACCAGUCUGACGCAACAUUGUGUAUCUGUACCUUCCACUAAGUUCUCUCUGAGAAAAAGGAAAUGUGAAGUGCCCAGCCUCUGCUGCCUCCUGCAAGACUCGAUGUUUACAAAUCAACUCUGAAAUAUUGGUUCUAAAUUGCCUUGGAGCAUGAUUGUGAAGGAACCACUAAGAAUUUUAAAGAUCAAACUUAAACUGCAGCUCUUUCCCCCUGGUUUGCCUUUUUCUUCUUUGGAUGCCACCAAAGCCUCCCUUUUGCUAUAGUUUUAUUUUGCGCACUGGAAACUGAGCAUUUAUCAUAGAGUACCGCCAAGCUUUCCCUCCAGUGCUGUUUGGCAAUGCAAUUUUUUUUAACUGUUAGUUUCUGAUUUGGGGCGGGAGGGGAAGAACACCAGUGUCCUAGCUGUAUUAUGAUUCUGCAGUGAAGACAUUGCAUGUUGUUUUCACUACUGUACUCUUGACCUGCACAUGCAAGAAACAGGUGGAAUGUUUAAAACACCAUAAACAGCUCAGGGUAUUUGCCAAUCUGAAAUAAAGUGGGAUGGGGAAGUGUGUCCUUCAGAGCAAGGGUACUAAAGUCCCUUUCGCUGCAGUGCGUGAGAGGCAAAUCUUCUGGGGAAGUCCAUUUAUGAUCAGCCGGUUACUUGGUGAGCGUGGAUUCUGAGCAAGGGAAGCAAGUUGCCUCAUGCAUCCAUCUCCCUAUGGGGACUCACCUGCUGAUUUUCAUGUUUGUGGACCAGGGUACGCUCUUCCCCCGGAUGAUUGUAGAGAUUCUCUGCCAGUAGUUGCCUCUCCACAUCAGCUUCUGAUGGGCACAUCCAGUAAAUCUGUCAGUACCGUCAGCCUUUGUCUCAGUUGAACCUGCCUGGGUUCCAUCUGCCGGUGUACGAUUGCUUACUUCUGCUCUGAUCCAUUUCUUAUUGUUUGAUAGUCAAAGGAUUAUCUUAUUUCCUUUCUUGGGGGAGACACCUCAAUGUUGCUCCCAUCUCCUGCCUACACGUAGAAUAAACCCACUGACAGAUUAUGUUUUGUUACAUAUAUGUGGAAGUCACCAUCUAUAGCCCUGCUCCUUAAAUAUAACCUAUAUUCCUUGAACAUCGGUUUUCUAGAAAAAUUUGAGGAAACAGUUCAGAAAUUUAGAAGAUUACAUUUCAAAUAAGUAAAUAUUAUGGAACAGAAAAAUUCACAUGAACUUUUAAAACAGGAGACUUCAAAGAAUUGUCGAGCAUGUCGCAGCCCUGUGGGGCUCUACCCAACACUUCAGUAGUAGGGGGGCAUCUCCUCUGCUCUGGAGGUAAAGGUCCUUGGAGAGAAAACUUUGGCAAGCCUUAGCUUAAUGAAAAACCGAUCUGGUACCUGGUCAAUAUUUCUAUUAUGUAAAUGUGAUGGUUUAUAAUGAUCCUCUUUGUAUAAAAGAAGCAAAUAUUUUAUGUCCUUUGCAAACCUGGAAAAUAUAUUUGUACCUGAGGUACAGGUUAGAGGUGCUAGUAAUUCUUUGAAGAUUCCUACAACAGUUUCUUUUCCAAAAUGCUUUCUUGGCUCUUAAAACUUUGAGUUUUCUUAAAACUCUAACUUUCACAUCAGGGUUUACAGUGUUUUCAUGUGUACUUUUUUUAAUGUAUAAAUAUUUUGUUUAAAUCCUCUCCUGAUCACUGUCUCCUGCUUGAGAAAAUAAACAGUGACCGACAGCUACUAUGCAUUCACUAAUGUUUUUAAAUAAAUGUGCAUACUACUCACCAUGGCAUCAGCACACAUCUAAAACAUACAGCUGUACAGUUAUGUGCAAGACUUAGUCUGAGCCAUUCCUUGCUCGCUACGGAUCUGCAGACAACCUGUGUCUUUGGAAGGCCCCCAAAGAUCCAUGGUCUUUUCCUCGGAGGUGAGCUGACAGGGGGCGCACAGCAGGUCUCCUCCAACUUCUAGGCUCUUGUGCUUAUUAGCACGGGGCUAGCUUCAAUUGGGCCAUUGAUGUUUGAACAAACUAAUUCGGUAUUAAUGUGUUUUCUCUUUAGCCAUCAAUCUAUAACAUUGAGAAAUGAUAUUGAAACUAAUCUGUCUGUGCUGAAUCAUGUGGUCAGCAACAUCUGGGUUCCUGUUGUGUGCAGAGUACUGCACUGGAUAUAAUAAAGGUAGAUUGCUUAUCUCCAUUUUGUUUUGCCUAUUUCUAUAAAUUGGGCAGAACACCUUCCUCUCCCAGCCUUGAAGGAAUGAGUGGCCCCGUGUAGGAAUGCCCGCGUAGACCGCACAUGCUUGACAACUUUGGAUGAUUCUAUCCCCCAAGAAGAAAACUUUUAAUUUUGGAGAAGUGGUUUCCUCGGGUUGUCGUCUUCACCAAUGAGACACAGACUCGGGAAUUUAAUACAUCAAGAUGACAGGCUUCUUGUACAGAAGGGCUUGUGACUGGAGACACAACAGGAACUACAGUUUUCCUGCUCUACCCCAAGCCUGUGCAAGUAGGUAUACAGGAGGACAUCCAGCAGCAGUCUGCUGGAAACUACAGUGACCUCACGUAAAAUGGUCACAAUUUUGGCAAUCUGAGCUCUGAGAGCAGCAAGUUCAUUUUCAAGGGCACAGAUCUUCUGUAGUGCUUCCUCAUUUGCCAGUGCUGUCUUCAGUUGAGGCUCUUCUGGAGACAGGUUUGGUAAGGAAAGCUCCCUGCUUGGCGGCUUCUCAAAGAAAGGCAGGCCAUCCUGAAGGGGCUGCCUUGAUCUGACCUCUGUCCUGCAAGAAAGACAGAAGGUCGGCUGUCACAGGUUUUGCAAGGAAAUACAAAAAAUCAUCACUGCACACAGUAUCUGAGAAAUACUUUUCAGACUGACUUUACAUAAAUCCCCUCCUGUAAGUCUCAAAACAGCAAAGUGCUUGUCAACCUGAUGUAGAUACAUACCAAGCCAGGUUUCUUACUGCCAUCAUUCUUAACCUCUAUAUAAUAUGCAUAAGCCCACACUAUCAGGAGGCAUCACAGAUUCCGUUUUUUCUACUUCAUGUUUUGUUUUGAACUAAGGUAAAAAAAACUUUUAAUGCUCUUUAAAAAGUGGUGGUUCAGGUGAUGAAGCUCACUGAGCAUGGCACCUGCUUGGGAUUUUCUCUCUUCUUCUCUGCCCCUCCCCCGCUCGCUCAUGUGCACUCUCAUUAUUUCUCAAAAGUAAAUAAACUUUAUUUUUAAAAAUGGCAAACUAAUUACUGGUUAUAUUUGACAACAAAAUCAAACCAGUAAUACAUUAGCCUUUCACCAGGGUUUUGGCUUCUGCAUUUCACUGUUAUUGUUUUCCGUGUAUGACAAUACAAAUCGCAAGACACAGUGUAACAAUAUGGGCCAAAUACAGCAGCAGAAACCAAAAAGGAGGGAGAAGAAUCAACUGAACCCAUGCAGUAACUAUACACACAUCCUCAUUUUCACUUGGGUGUAAAGGUUUUUAAUAUGCAUUUCUCCAUAGUUCCAAAUGUUAAGUCUUUUGAGGCUAAGAAUAAAAUUCAGAUGUCUUUUCAACUGUCAAUUUAUAUACUUAGCUAUUUCCUACAAUUAGAUUUUCCGGGCCUCUAAGCCCUUUUUCCUUCCAACUUCAUUGAGCUAAAAUUGACAACUGUAUUUAUUUAAGGUGUGCAGCAUGAUGACUUACAUACACACUUGGAAGUAAUCACUACAAUCAAGUUAAUGAGCGCAUCCCAGUUUCCCUCACAGUUUCACGAGGUCAUGUCUGAGUUCUGGUGAACAAGAUGUCGGCAGAUGUUGAUAAGCCAUCUAGGAAAGCUGUUUACAAGGAGAGGACUCCAGGAGAAAGUCCUUUCAUCUGUAGCUCCACCCACUCGCUCCUCCUGAGCCUUGAGUACAAGGUGAUGGCUGGACUUGAGAGUCACAGACAACCAAAAGCUAACCUGAAUGCAGAAGUCAAUGCUAACGACGGCAGGGAGCCUGGCUGGGUCCCUGUGGACACUGUAGAGCCACUGUCAGCUUCAGACUAUCUACUAUGGAUGUGUUUGAUUUGAGAGAAAUAAACCUCCAUCCUCUAGAAGUCACCAUUUUGGGGGGCAUCUCUGUUAAAUGUAGUCGAACCUAAUCCUGUUAUACGACCAUCAUUAAACUCCAUUUUAUCUUCUAUUUUAA